rnacentral:rRNA from 1 species
AUGUCAUAUAUCUUAAAAUUAAUCCAUCAAGUUGAUGAGCAAAUUCACAUGCGUUCUACUGGGCCCUACUCACCUGUUACACAACAACCCGUUCGAGGAAGAGCCCAGCAAGGGUUGAUAUCGCAUCGAAAUGAGGAGGCAGAAAGAGAGGAGGCGACGCAACGCAACGCUUGCCGGCCCACACAGUCACACUUGCCAGCUCUUGCAAAACAGAACAAAGGGAACGCCCUGUACUCCAUUUGCUCCUUGGAUCUUUCCCUUCGCAAAAGUUUUGAAAACAAACCAACAGGACCCUCUCUGGCCCCGAGAUUGUCUUCAUGGCUCCUAUGCAAGUACUACCAACUACCGUGCAUAAUUUAA